rnacentral:rRNA from 1 species
GAUGAACGCUGGCGGCGUGCUUAACACAUGCAAGUCGAACGGAAAGGCCAGUGCUUGCACUGGUACUCGAGUGGCGAACGGGUGAGUAACACGUGGGUGAUCUGCCCUGCACUUCGGGAUAAGCCUGGGAAACUGGGUCUAAUACCGGAUAGGACAAUGGUUUGGAUGCCGUUGUGGAAAGUUUUUUCGGUGUGGGAUGAGCUCGCGGCCUAUCAGCUUGUUGGUGGGGUAAUGGCCUACCAAGGCGUCGACGGGUAGCCGGCCUGAGAGGGUGUACGGCCACAUUGGGAAUAGGAUACGGCCCAGCCCCCUCCGGGGGGGCGCAGGGGGGACACUUCCACCCGGGGCCAAAGCCCAAUGCCGCCACGCCGGUUGGGGGAGUGCGGGCUCUGGGUUAGAAAACCCUUUCCCCAGGCGCGGAGCUGAUUUGGAAAGGCACCGGGAGAGGAAGCCCCGGCCAACCCACC